rnacentral:SRP_RNA from 1 species
GGGUGGGCUAGGCGGGGGCUACCCCUCCCCGAACCGCAAAUGGGGUUACGGCGGGCCGAAGCCCAGAGGAGGGUGUCCGGAAGCCCGUUGAAGGGACGGAUGCUCCCGUGGAGGUCCCGCCCCACAGGGUCGGCGGAGGCGGGGCCCAAACCGUAGGGUUUGGGUGAACCGCCCUUACCUGUCGAACCCGGCCAGGCCCGGAAGGGAGCAACCGUAGGCAGGACGUUCGGCGCUUGUGGGUAACGGGGCUGAGGGAAGGCCGUUCCUAGACGGGUGGAAGGCGCUCGAAUCUGGGAGCCCACCC